rnacentral:rRNA from 1 species
AGAGUGAACGCUGGCGGUAGGCCUAACACAUGCAAGUCGAACGGCAGCACAGUAGGAGCUUGCUCUUACGGGUGGCGAGUGGCGGACGGGUGAGGAAUACAUCGGAAUCUACCUUUUGGUGGGGGAUAACGUAGGGAAACUUACGCUAAUACCGCAUACGCCCUUCGGGGGAAAGCCGGGACCAGCAAUGGCCUGGCGCUGAUAGAUGAGCCGAUGUCGGAUUAGCUAGUUGGUGAGGUAAUGGCUCACCAAGGCGACGAUCCGUAGCUGGUCUGAGAGGAUGAUCAGCCACACUGGAACUGAGACACGGUCCAGACUCCUAGGGAGGCAGCAGUGGGGAAUAUUGGACAAGUGGGGCG